GAUUAUGGCUCAGGACGAACGCUGGCGGGCGUGCUUAACACAUGCAAGUCGAGCGAUGAAGCUUCUUCGGAAGUGGAUUAGCGGCGGACGGGUGAGUAACACGUGGGUAACCUGCCUCAUAGAGGGGAAUAGCCUUCCGAAAGGAAGAUUAAUACCGCAUAAGAUUGUAAUAUCGCAUGAUAUAGCAAUUAAAGGAGUAAUCCGCUAUGAGAUGGACCCGCGUCGCAUUAGCUAGUUGGUGAGGUAACGGCUCACCAAGGCGACGAUGCGUAGCCGACCUGAGAGGGUGAUCGGCCACAUUGGGACUGAGACACGGCCCAGACUCCUACGGGAGGCAGCAGUGGGGAAUAUUGCACAAUGGGGGAAACCCUGAUGCAGCCAACGCCGCGUGAGUGAUGACGGUCUUCGGAUUGUAAAGCUCUGUCUUCAGGGACGAUAAUGACGGUACCUGAGGAGGAAGCCACGGCUAACUACGUGCCAGCCGCAGC
rnacentral:rRNA from 1 species